GAGGGUAUAGGUCAGUGGUAGAGUGUGUGCCUUGCAUGCAUGAGGUCCUGGGUUGAAUCCCUAAUACCUCCC
rfam:Camelus ferus unplaced genomic scaffold scaffold297, whole genome shotgun sequence.